UUUUCUUCUAGAUCCCACUGAGGGGACAGGGGAGUGAGUGAAUGGCUGCAUAGUGUUUGCUGCCUCCAAGUUAAACCACAAGGUGCUUCUGAAGACAUUUACCAAGCAAGAAUAAAACACUUUUUUGUCAAGUUCCCCUUAAGUCCCUGCAAAUUCUGUGGAUAUAUUUGAGAAAAGACUGUAAUGUACUGGAGCAGAGGAUUACUCUAAUGCAGUCACCUUUGAGGUGGAACAUGGGUAGCUCCCAAAAGAAAAAGAGAAAAGAAAUCUGGAACCAGCACUCAGGCCAAACUCUUUUUCCAUGGCCUGACUCUGUUUCUGUCUCAUUGUAUUAAUAUUGUCUCAGCUCCAGAUAGUGUCAGUAUCAGUUACGUUCCCUUCAGUGAGCCACAAAAAACACCUACAGCAUUUUGUGCACUCAACUGGAGGCAAUCUGCUAACGCUCAAAUGCUCAUUGAAUGGAAAAUGAUGCAACAGUUGGCUAGCUGGAAACAUUAUACUAUGUAAUAAACAACAUACUUUUCUGUUUUCUCCUCUCUGACCCAUCACAGACAGGCAUCCUUCUGUGUACCUCAUUUGUGGGAGACUGGACAGUUAAAACUCGGAUAAAGUAAUAGAGGAAGAAAAAAAAAACCUGUUGAGGAUGAACAAAACCAGCUGAAUUGUUCUUCCUUAGGUUUUAGUGCACCUGAUGUCCCAAAGAUUGUGACCCUCUUAAGAAAGAGCAAGAUAGUCUGGAUUUUACCCUCUUCCCUCACAAAUUGCCAGUAUAUAUGGGACAUUUUUUUCAACAUUUUGAGGACAUUUAUUAAUGGAUUGAGAGGUAUAGAGCUUGGUUUUCUUAGAAAGCAAAAUAAACACAAAGAAAUAUUUGC